rnacentral:rRNA from 1 species
CCUACGGGAGGCAGCAGUGAGGAAUAUUGGACAAUGGGCGCAAGCCUGAUCCAGCCAUGCCGCGUGCAGGAAGAAGCAUCUAUGGUGUGUAAACUGCUUUUGUACAGGAAGAAACACUCCCUCGUGAGGGAGCUUGACGGUACUGUAAGAAUAAGGACCGGCUAACUCCGUGCCAGCAGCCGCGGUAAUACGGAGGGUCCGAGCGUUAUCCGGAAUCAUUGGGUUUAAAGGGUCCGUAGGCGGUUUAAUAAGUCAGUGGUGAAAUCUGGUCGCUCAACGAUCAAACGGCCAUUGAUACUGUUAGACUUGAAUUAUAAGGAAGUAACUAGAAUAUGUAGUGUAGCGGUGAAAUGCUUAGAUAUUACAUGGAAUACCAAUUGCGAAGGCAGGUUACUACUUAUGGAUUGACGCUGAUGGACGAAAGCGUGGGGAGCGAACAGGAUUAGAUACCCUGGUAGUCCACGCCGUAAACGAUGGAUACUAGCUGUUCGGAGCAAUCUGAGUGGCUAAGCGAAAGUGAUAAGUAUCCCACCUGGGGAGUACGUUCGCAAGAAUGAAACUCAAAGGAAUUGACGGCUGAGAGAGCGAGACGACGACGAGGGAGGAGG